ensembl:snoRNA
GUCAUUCUGUGGGUCAUAAGCAUGAUGAUUGGGUUUUCAUGCUCAAGCGUGAGACGUACCUCCCUUAAACCUUGCUACAACAUUGGUAAUAUACCAAUGCCUGACA